rnacentral:rRNA from 1 species
ACGGGGGGUGCAAGCGUUGUUCGGAAUUAUUGGGCGUAAAGAGCGUGUAGGCGGCUUGUCAAGUCAGAUGUGAAAGCCCUGGGCUUAACCCAGGAAGGGCAUUUGAAACUGGCAGUCUAGAGUAGGGGAGAGGGAAGGGGAAUUCCUGGUGUAGAGGUGAAAUUCGUAGAUAUCGGGAGGAACACCGGUGGCGAAGGCGCCUUACUGGACAUCUACUGACGCUGAGACGCGAGAGCGUGGGUAGCAAACAG